rnacentral:lncRNA from 1 species
GGUGGAGAGGGAAAGCUUAUAAGAACAAGCUAAUGGUGCCUGUCUUCUGUCAGUGUCUCAUCAGUGCCUGGUCUGCCUGAUCUGCCUGACCAGCAGCAAGCCUGGAGCCAGAGCGGAUGUUGGAGAAGAGGGGUCGAUUUUCAAAUGCACAACAAGAAGUGGUUUGAGACGGCGAACACUGUGGCAAUGGAGGGGGGUCAGCCAGUGAAGAAGGAGGAGAUUAGAAGUCAUGCAGCCUACCUGUUCCUGCCUGUGGUGUGUCCGCAAAAAACACAUUUCAUAAAUCUUUUCCAUGAUUAAAGUUAUGACACUUGUUGCCUCACUAAAUGUCAUUUUUAUAUGAAAAAUUUACCACUUGUCAUCUGCUUAUCUAAAGGUCUGCCCUUCCAAAUUCUUCUCACCUGGGGAUAUUUUCUACUUUCUCAUGUAACUUUCCUUGACUUGCCUUGACAACUGGCAAUAACUACAUUUAAAAAUAAAGGCACAACUGAAAAACACAUUUUAUGGUUCAUUUCAAAAUAAAUAAUUGUGCCUGGAUCUGAACAUUUUAAAGCCAGAUGAAACAGGGCAAUAGUGGCAUCAGUUUAAAAUACAUUUUUCACUGUUAUUCAGGACACUGGAAUGCAAAU